rnacentral:rRNA from 1 species
AUUGAACGCUGGCGGCAGGCCUAACACAUGCAAGCCGAGCGGAGCGGCGGACGGGUGAGUAAUGUCCAGGAAUCCGCCCGGUCGUGGGGGAUAACGUCCGGAAACGGGCGCUAAUACCGCACACUAUCAGAUGAGCCUAGGUCGGAGUAGCUAGUUGGUGGGGUAAAGGCCUACCAAGGCGACGAUCCGUAACUGGUCUGAGAGGAUGAUCAGUCACACUGGAACUGAGACACGGUCCAGACUCCUACGGGAGGCAGUAGUGGGGAAUAUUGGACAAUGGGCGAAAGCCUGAUCCAGCCAUGCCGCGUGUGUGAAGAAGGUCUUCGGAUUGAAAAGCACUUUAAGUUGGGAGGCGUUACCGACCGAUUAGGCACCGGCUAACGUCGUGCCAGCAGCCGCGGUAAUUC